UAUAUGGUUAUAUGAAAUGACUACCCUCUUAGACCACUUGCAAGAAAUGAAUGUUGUUAGCAAUAUGAAAAUGAUCACUCUAAAAUUGCCCUAUAGACUUAGAGAAAAGAUAAAGCUGGUCUGUUCAAGGAAAAUGAGAAUUGAAAGGCCAUGAUCUGGUGAACUUCAUACAAAAGGAAGUACGGUUCAGGUCAAAUUUAUGCUAGGGAG